GGGCGCAUGGUGUAGUUGGUUAUCACAUCCGCUUAGCACGGUUCUUAAUACUGAUGUUUGCGGGGGGUGCUGGGUUCAAUUCCCAGUGCGUCCA
rnacentral:tRNA from 1 species